UGUUUGUGUACUGUGUAGCCUUUAUAUGCAACUAACCAAUGAUGUAACUACAAUCUAAAAAUAAUACUUGGUGUGGUGGUUUGUGGUUUUUUCAGCUGAGCUACCUGGUCACUUUGUGGUUAGGGUCACUUUGCUGACCAUCAGCACACAGAAAUGGUGUGUGGUUUUUUUCAAGCUGAGUUGUCACUUUGUGGUCAUGACCAGCACAGAGGAAAAACCCUAGGCACAAUUUUUAGGUUGUCACAAGUUAUGAAAAAUAAGGUAAGUGAGAUGAUUAUAUCUAUCCAUGAUUGCAUGUUGUGAUGUUGUGAUGAUUGUUGUAUAUACAGUAGAACCUCGAUUAUCCGGCCCUCCAUUAUCCGGAACCUCGAUUAUCCGGCUUGGCAGUUUUCUUUUUAUCAGAUUAAAUAAUUCAGAAAAUGGGCGUGUCCCUAAAAUGCGCAUGCGCGUUGCAGCUGUUACCAUGGAGACAUGCCUGCUUAUCUUCUGCGCAUGCGCAGACAACCAUGUGGCACUGCUGUUUAUCAAUAAAGUGGGUGGAUCAAGGCGUGGUUUAUCUAUUCGAUUAUCCGGCAUAUUCACUUAUCCGGCCUGCUUCUGGAACCAAGGUGUCCGGAUAAUCGAGGUUCUACUGUACAUACAAAUUGUGUCAGCUAGAUCUGUCUUGUUCCCUGCCAGGUGUAAAAUUGUGAUUGUGAUUGUGUACCUGCGUACUUACAGAUCAGACAAACACACAAGAGGACUCUCAAGCUGAAGAGCUGUUCCGCAGACUGGAGAAGCACCCUGUCUUGCUCAAAGAGCUGCCGAGACAUCUCAUUCUGAGGGCACCCGCCUUAGACACGACUGACGGCUAGCCACAGGGAUCACUCGAUUAUGCAGGAGACGAUAUUGGGACCACCCCUACGUGCAAGGCUCUGUGAUUAGUCAUAAUGAAGGCUAAUGAAGAUUGAGGAGCGUCUCAUCAAGUCUCCACCUGUCCAUUACUGCGUGGACAGUGCUUGUGUGGGGUCUCGUCAGAAGGGAGCGGGGUCGACACCUCUAUGGACACCACACCCUCUAACGCCCCCACCACUAUCAAACUAGGGGGCACUCCACAACUUGAGCUACACCCAAUACCCUCGUGAAACCCCUCCCCCUUUUCAAGUAAUGGUCAGAGUGUGCAGGGGAUCCCUCCUUGAUGUUUUCGGCAGUCACAAAGUACUCUCGGAUCUGCAGGACUACACCUACCUAUAUCAGGACAUGACGAGGUUGGUACCCAACUGUAGCGUACACCCUCGGCUACCCGCCAAAUAACGUUUCGGGGUGCUCAAAACUUGUAAGUGCCGAAACAAGGCAAGGGCCCGGUUAAAGAAACCCAUACACGUUUGGGCGAGGGGGGCGCGCCGGAGCACGGGAGAAAACUUGCGCUUUAGGGCAUGCCUCGAUUUUGGCAACUUUAUAUUUUCGAUAGCCGCAGUGCACGGCACCCAUUAAUGAGUCGAUGGCAGGUUAAGUAUUAGAAUAUUUUGCUGGUGAAAAACCUUUGCGAAUGUGCAUGGCAUUUCUUCUAAAAUUAUGGAUCAGCACGAGGAUCCCGGCUCAAUAGCUUGAAAUUCACCAAACCUAGUGGUUUUACUGUACAUAGGCUACUAUGGAGAGCAGUCUUGUGUUAGUUAUAGUUGCUGUCUCCAUUAACGGCUUACAAUAUUCGAGUUCACUUGAGCUUGCUAGAGAGCACAACAGUAGAUCUACACAGGCACUGUAUUCGUAGAUUUCAUUGGAAAGGUGAUUCUGAGAGCUACUGCAUCAAUAUUAUUAGUUUAGGAAUUGAACAUGCUCUCAAAAAUGCUACUAAAUAAUAGUUAGUAUUUCCAUAAUUCAAAAACAUGUACCUGUACAUGAAACAAUUUUAUACAUGGCUUAUGGCAUAAUAAGGCAAUCUAUAUUCAUGUUAGGUAGACCACAACAUUCCAAUUAGACACAUGCAUGCAGCCACAGCCUGUUGGACCAUAACUACAUGUACACUUAGUCCAUUUGCCUAUUGCCAUGACCACUUUCCAAUCAAAAUUAAAUUACACUGGAUUCAAGUAAUUAUUUAUUAGUUCUAGAAACCGCUAAUAGUGUGAGCAAAGUACAUUUACUGAGUGCGCGUGCAGUCCACUGAUGAGUCCCGGCACAAUAAACAUUAGGGACGAAAAGGUCUUGUAUUCGACCUUCUGGGCUAUACCAAUCCGUUACUGUAAGUGUAUGGCUUUUUGUCGCACUUUUCUGCAGCUCAAGCACACCUGUCCAGCAACAUUUUCUCCAUACAACGCCUUCUCAUGGAUCUGACCAAUGAGGUUGCGUAACACCAGGUGGAGGUAGCAAGAGUAUGGCCGCCCAGAUUGAGAAUGACGGCGUGGCAGGAUAUCAAUACUGGAGACUGCUGCCAGAAAAAAGUGGUUGACUCCUUCGGAAAGUUCAGACUGAGUUCAUUGUAGACAGUGAGGAGUGUGCACAGGGCCAGAGACACGGGAGCAAGCCUGGCAUCUUUCUCCAGUUUGAUGGCCACUGGGACCCAUCGCCAGCAUCAGCUCUUACCGGACAGCUGGGCAAACGUGAUGUACAGUUUGGAUUCAUUGAGAAUGACGCUAUUUUGAUGUGAGGAACUGAACUGGCAGUAUUUAAACAGUUACAGUCAAGAGAUGUGAGUCGUCGUGGUGAUGUGUAUUCUGAUCUAAAUAGCAGCUGUUGUAUAUGCCCCCCGCUCCAUUAGACUAUAACUUUCACUUUCAGCAUUAACACACACACACACACAAACGGACUACCGUAUACCUCGCUUGCGCAUGCGCACCGAGAGCAUAAUUAUUCUCGGCCACAGCAAUUAUGUCUACAUGCAGUCACAUGGUAUUCCUCUGAUCUGUUGCCUAGGACCAUCGAGAGGCCUCUCUUCCAAUCGAACGCUACCAAGGUCACACACAGGAGGUGUGCAGGCUCAGAUGGUCACCUGACGGUCAGCUCUUAUAGCCUCAGGUGGAGAUGACAACUAUGAUGUUUUCAGAGUACGAAGCUUGCAUGUACAUGUACGUGUACUUUAGAUCGAGUCAUCCAAUGCAAAUGUUCCUACACAAAGAUGCAUGCCUCUCAAUCAGGCAAAUAAGCAAAUAAGCAAAUAAAACCUCUCUAUAGAAAACCCGUUUUCAGGUGCACCUGCACAGCAUGUAUAUCUCCCACUCACUUUUGGUCGCAUCGUUUAUAAUAGGGUCACAGGCCAAUGUUACGAGCUGUUGUAUACGCUGUGCCCUCCCCCCUGUGCUCAAUUAGACACUAACGUACUUUUUGUUAAACCAUAGAUACAGGAAGAGAGGGAUUGGUAACAAAAGCGCCUCGAAUAGCCAUCCGUGUUUCCCUGCGGUUUAAUUGAAGCCGCCUACUUUCAACGUUGGGAAAAAUGGCCAGACACAAAAUAAGAGACAAACGAUUGUUUUACUGUCAGUAUAAGAAUUUUGCUGCUUGACUUUCAGUUCAAUGCAGUGCUUUAGGCCAUAUGCUACACAGUACACUACUUAGUUAGGCAGCUCUAGCUAUAUUAUAGUAGCAGGAGGUACAUAGUGUCGCAUGUACCUCUAGCUACUUCACAACAAUCGAAAUUAUGUUUUUGUCAUCUCUAAAUGAUGCCUACAAGCAAGGGGCAUCGAAUAGAAGGGCUUGGAAAGGUUCGUAAAGGUUGUUCUACCGCAUUGGGGAGGGAAACACGGAUGGCUUGUCAAGCUCUGUAUUGAUUUCAUGUAAUUUUAUAUGUGGCUUAUGGGCGCACGUGAUCCGUUGCCAAUCCCUCUCUUCCUGUAUCUAUGGUUAAACAAGCUGUUGCAUACGCUGUACCCCCCCCCCCCCUGUGUUCCAUUAGACUAUUAUAAUAACGUACUUUUUGUAUGUUGUAUACGCUGUGCCCCCCCCCCGUGUUUCGUUAGACUUUUAUGUGUUGUAUACGCUCUGCCCCCCCUGUGUUCCAUUAUAGUGUUAUAAUAAUGUAUGAUCGACCCUUCAGAGAUAGGACCUCCGUCUCACAUAGCGUUUAUUGUCUAGUGGGUCUUUACCGGCUGUUUUGGCUCAUUGUGACUGUUACUUAUCCAUUCUAAAGUCUUUACCCACUAAUCGAGGCACGCGUGUCGUAUACCUCCUCUGCUCUUGAACUGUGACAUACAUUCGAGAAUAAUGGUAUAACAAGUGCAAAAAACAUUUUUGGGAGAGUAGGGCAUGUGCUCUUGAACUGUGACAUACAUUCGAGAAUAAUAGGUAUAACAAGUGCAAAAAACAAAAAUGGGGAAGAGUUAUUGGACAGAGUUCAGGUAACAAUAGAGAUCACAGAAAGACGCACAAACAUGAGUGAAAUAAGCUUCAUCACAGGGACUUAUAUGCAGGAAGCGGCUUGUUUGCCAAGGUGGUUUGAACACCAAUACUUGCUGGGGAAAUCUGCACUUUAUUGUGUCCACAUCAUCAUGCUACAUGUAGGUGGUUCCACCCAAUUUCAUAGCUCCGUGGAGGGUCACAGCGAUCCCUACUCAACUGGUAGUCAGUGACCGCCUACGACGUUAGUAUUUAGCUUUUUUUCACAGCAAUAUUUUCUUUUUUGCAGCUCUAGUGAGUUUCUCUAUAGCAACACUUUCAUUUUGAAAAUUUUCAUUUUGGAUCUAAUUACCAACCAGGAAUUUGGCUGCCCGAUUCACUCACAUUGAGAACGACAGAGAUCAAGAGACAAGACUCGAUCAGAAUAAGUCAACGUGUUAUACGGUACCCUCUUCGAUGUGGGUCAUUCGUUUCUCACGUUUAAUUCUUAAGUUUCACCCCAAAAGCACUCUAUGUGUAACUAUACACGACAAUGUAUAGUGUACGUCCCAAAGUUAGCUACUUGCUUGCACCAUAAUCAUCAAGGUGAGGUGUAU